CAGGGCCCCAUAUAUAGAUUAAUUACUAUAGUUAUGCUUAGCACUCUUUUUUAGGUUCAUGGAGGAUGAUAGUACUUGCAUAUUGAAGGAGUGAGAGGUGGAUAAAAGUGAUAAGGGUGGUAGGGGAGAGAAUUUGGAAGAACUCGCUUCCUUGUCUGCAUGGUGGUGGCGUGGGCAUGAUAAUAUUCAUUUUGUCUUCGCUUUGGACCACUGCCAUCUGUUUUCUUCCUAAUUUAUUACUAUAUCCUCAUAAUAUAAGCUUUUCAGUCUCCUUAUUAUAAUCAAAAAGAUUAAAUAAGCUAAUCACACUAACACCAAGAGACGAGGCAUUCUUGUCUAGGCCCUUGGCCGCUAUAUAUAUCCUUCUCUUCCUCUCUUCCCUAGCAGCAACCCCAUAUGCAGAGAGAACUCAAAACUAGUUACAUUUACAUCUCUCUACCUCCCUCUGCCCCCCUCUCUCCCUGUCUCCCCAGAUCGCUGGAUAUUGAUCCGUUGAUCAUCUCUCGUGCACCACUAGCAGUUGAAGCUGCCAGCAUGAUCUAAAUUAACCUCCUUCUUUAUCAAGGAUGGAUUAGAUCAUGUGGUAGUUUCACCUGCUGAUGGCAUCACGAAAAAACCCUAGCUACUUCUCAUUCUAAAUCCUACUUUAAGUCUCAAAUUGUUGCUUGUUAAAUACACAAUCAUUGGUGGGUGUUAGAUGUUGUAGAUGGUAAGGUUAUUUUAGAGAUUUUUCAUAAAGAAAACAAGGAAUCAAAUCUUGUUUGCAUUCGAUGAAGAAAAUAUACUUUAAUUUGUUGUAUAUAGUCCAGCCCGUUGGUGGUGAUACUGCUCCCGCAUCAAUCUGGGCCUGCUCCCCUGGACAAGAGUAUCCUCCAUGCUAAAGGACCAAAACGACGCAAAUAUGGACGUUUGAAUUGGAGCUUACAAGAAAGCGGUGCGUUUUGGCUUAAUCUUAACACUUUACCAUGUCUGAAGUUGAAGCUAGCUUGCCAUGAUCAGUCAUCAAUUUGCUACAUGGUGCUCUCUACCGCGCUGCGUUUUUUAAGUUCAAUAUUUUUAGAUAAAUUUAUGAAACUAAGUCCUUUCGCUAUUAUUCUAAAAACGCACAUUUUAUAUGUAUUUGAUGCAUUCAAAAGAAUUAAUAAAUUUUCUUGGAUGUUAUCUCUCAAUUUGAAAGCAUAAACCAAAAAACAUCAAGGAAUUGAACAAGUUUUACUUAAUCACCUGACUCAACAGUUUUUGCAAAUACUUAAAGAUUUUUUUUUCCAUGCAUAUAUAGGUAAAAUAAUGAACAACAAUCAAAUCUCAUCUUCUCAAUAACGCUGGCCAACCCUGUUUCUAAAAAAUUCAAAAAACAAAUUAGCUAAAUAUUAAUAUAUAUUUUUUUAUAUUUUGGAUCGUUUUGAUGUAUUGAUCUAAAAAAUAAUUUUUAAAAAAUAAAAAAAUAUCAUUUUGAUAUAUUUCGGAAUGAAAAGCACUUUGAAAAACAACCACAACCACACCCCAAACAAACCCAAAUGCUUUCCCCGUGUUCUUAGUUCUUAAUUCUUAAUGAUUUUUCCUUUUCUAUUCUAUUCUAUCAGUACCAAAAUUUGAUUGUAAUUACUGAGAUUUUUAAACUUUCUAUUCUAUUCUAUCAGUACCAAAAUUUGAUUGUAAUUACUGGGAUUUUUAAACUUUCUAUUCUAUUCUAUCAGUACCAAAAUUUGAUGCAGGUUAAUAAUUUGGAGGGAUAGAUUGCACUGUUGCUUGAUCUGGUCCAAUAAAGCUCAAUGGGAGUUGAUGAUUCUCUAA